rnacentral:lncRNA from 1 species
CUUGAAUACGAGGAUUAGGGUUACAUGAGACUUAAAUAGAGUUGUGAAACAUAAGGAAAUGCCUCUAAAUUUGAAUUUCAUGAAUGUGGCAAAUGGUAAGGAUACUAAGAGAAUAAGCACAUCGGGUUCCAGAAGACUGGAUCGAGUAAAAUCUAGAUAGGCUCAUGCCUAUAGUCGAAGACUUAGCUACAGUGGUAAGUCAACACGUAGUCUAUAGCCAAAGUACUACUAAUGAUAAUAAUGCUAGUACCAGUCCAAUCGAUAGAGGAAAAUAAUAGAAAAUUCAUUUAAAGAUUUAAGAGGAUGAACCCACCAUCAUUUGUUAGAGCAACCAACCUGUAGUUGAACAGUAGAUCAUUGAGUUGGAGAAGAUAUUUGAUGUUCUCAGCCCCACUUUAGAGUAGAAGGUACAAUUAGCCACAUUCAUGUUUAAGGGAGUUG